AUUGAACGCUGGCGGCAUGCUUUACACAUGCAAGUCGAACGGUAACAGGCCGCAAGGUGCUGACGAGUGGCGAACGGGUGAGUAAUGCAUCGGAACGUGCCCAGUCGUGGGGGAUAACUACUCGAAAGAGUAGCUAAUACCGCAUACGAUCUAUGGUUGAAAGCGGGGGACCGUAAGGCUUCGCGCGAUUCUAGCGGCCGAUGUCAGAUUAGGUAGUUGGUGGGGUAAAGGCUCACCAAGCCAACGAUCUGUAGCUGGUCUGAGAGGACGACCAGCCACACUGGAACUGAGACACGGCCCAGACUCCCACGGGAGGCAGCAGUGGGGAAUUUUGGACAAUGGGCGCAAGCCUGAUCCAGCAAUGCCGCGUGCAGGAAGAAGGCCUUCGGGUUGUAAACUGCUUUUGUACGGAACGAAACGGCUCUGGUUAAUACCCGGGGCUAAUGACGGUACCGUAAGAAUAAGCACCGGCUAACUACGUG
rnacentral:rRNA from 1 species